UGCGUGAGAGCGUCUCCAACAUCGCACGUACCUCUAUUUAUUUUCGCUCAAAUUAAUUUCGAUUAUGGGAAAAACGACGCUUUCCCAAUAAUCAUAGGAGUUAUUUUCAAACGCGGAACUGUUAUUCUCGUGGCUGGCUUAAUUACUCGACAGUGACGAAUAGAAGCUGCGUGCCGUGCAAAAUUCCUAGGAAAUCUUUUAAAAGCGUGAUAGUCGGGACUAGGUGUUGCCUAAUGUACUUGUCUUUUGUGUUUAUCAGUGGUUCGUAAACAUGUUGUAAUUCGGUAAUCAGUCGCUCGCGGCCGUUUGGUAGACAAAACGCAUUCUUCUGACAAUAUUGCACCGUCUGCGAAAUUACAUACCCCAGAGAAUUGUGAAGGAAUCUUUAAUGUCCUCGUAGCUGUUAUGUGACUGGGAAUUUAAGAAUACUAUUUAAUGUCUUUUGUAUGCAAUAAUUAAAAUUUUCUCUUUCGGUUUUAUUAAAAAUAAAUUCCGUUAAAAAAGUG